rfam:Hordeum vulgare subsp. vulgare, WGS project CAJW01000000 data, contig: morex_contig_8417
CACCUACUCCCUCCGUCCUAAAAUUCUUGUCUUAGCUUUGUCUAUAAAUGAAUGUAUUUAAAUACUAAAACUUGACUAGAUACUUUCAUAUCUAAUAAACAAAUCUAAGACGAGAAUUUUAGGAUCGAGGGAGUACAAG